UACGGGGGGGCAAGCGUUGUUCGGAAUUACUGGCGUAAAGGGCUCGUAGGCGGCCAACUAAGUCGGACGUGAAAUCCCUCGGCUUAACCGGGGAACUGCGUCCGAUACUGGAUGGCUAGAGUUCGGGAGAGGGAUGCGGAAUUCCAGGUGUAGCGGUGAAAUGCGGUAGAUAUCUGGAGGAACACCGGUGGCGAAGGCGGCAUCCUGGACCG
rnacentral:rRNA from 1 species